UACGUAGGUGACCAGCGUUGUCCGGAAUUACUGGGCGUAAAGGGCUCGUAGGCGGCCAACUAAGUCGGACGUGGAAUCCCCAGGCUCAACCUGGGAACUGCGUCCGAUACUGGAUGGCUUGAAUCCGGGAGAGGGAUGCAGAAUUCCAGGUGUAGCGGUGAGAUGCGGAAAUAUCUGGAGGAAUACCGGUGGCGAAGGCGGCAUCCUGGACCGGCAUUGACGCUGAGGAGCGAAAGCGUGGGGAGCAAACAGG
rnacentral:rRNA from 1 species